rnacentral:rRNA from 1 species
AGCGAACGCUGGCGGCAGGCCUAACACAUGCAAGUCGAGCGGCCGUAGCAAUACGGCAGCGGCAGACGGGAGAGUAACACGUGGGAACGCGCCCUUCGGUUCGGGAUAACUCAGGGAAACUUGGGCUAAUACCGGAUACGCCCUUACGGGGAAAGAUUUAUUGCCGAAGGAACGGCCCGCGUCCGAUUAGCUUGUUGGUGAGGUAACGGCUCACCAAGGCGACGAUCGGUAGCUGGUCUGAGAGGAUGACCAGCCUCACUGGGACUGAGACACGGCCGAGACUCCUACGGGAGGCAGCAGUGGGGAAUAUUGGACAAUGGGCGCAAGCCUGAUCCAGCCAUGCCGCGUGGGUGAUGAAGGCGCUAGGGUUGUAAAGCCCUUUCAGCGGGGAAGAUAAUGGCGGUACCCGCAGAAGAAGCCCCGGCUAACUUCGUGCCAGCCGCCGCCGUAAGAC